CCAAUAGCGUAUAUUAAAGUUGUUGCAGUUAAAAAGCUCGUAGUUGAAUUUCGGGAUUGGCGCAUCGGUCGUGCCUCACGGGGUAUGAACUGGUGCAGUCAAUUUCUCACCUUCUGGAGAACCGCGAUGUCCUUAAUUGGGUGCCGCGGGGAACCAGGACCUUUACUUUGAAAAAAUUAGAGUGUUUAAAGCAGGCAUUUUUGCUUGAAUACAUUAGCAUGGAAUAAUAAAAUAGGACGGCAUGGUUCUAUUUUGUUGGUUUCUAGGACCACCGUAAUGAUUAAUAGGGAUAGUUGGGGGCAUUAGUAUUCAAUUGUCAGAGGUGAAAUUCUUGGAUUUAUUGAAGACUAACUACUGCGAAAGCAUUUGCCAAGGAUGUUUUCAUUAAUCAAGAACGAAAGUUAGGGGAUCGAAGACGAUCAGAUACCGUCGUAGUCUUAACCAUAAACUAUGCCGACUAGGAAUCAGACGAUGUUAAUUUUUUAAUGACUCGUUUGGCACCUUAC
rnacentral:rRNA from 1 species